rnacentral:rRNA from 1 species
CCCUUAGAUGUUCGGGGCCGCACGCGCGCUACACUGAAGGAAUCAGCACGUCUUUCUCCUUGUCCGAAAGGACUGGGUAACCCGCUGAACCUCCUUCGUGCUAGGGAUUGGGGCUUGUAAUUCUUCCCCAUGAACGAGGAAUUCCCAGUAAGCGCGAGUCAUAAGCUCGUGUUGAUUACGUCCCUGCCCUUUGUACACACCGCCCGUCGCUACUACCGAUUGGAUGGUUUAGUGAGAUCCUCGGAUUGGUCCCGGAGCGGCCUCUGGUCGUGCCGGAGUGCCGAAAAGAAUGUCGAACUUGAUCAUCUAGAGGAAGUAAAAGUCGUAACA